AUACUAAAUGAAGUUUGGCAGCACAUGUACGAAAACUGGAACAUUACAGAGAUGAUUAGCAUGGCCCCUGCGCAAGGGUGAAAGGCAAACUUGUGAAGCAUUCCAUAUUAUU